rnacentral:rRNA from 1 species
AUUGAACGCUGGCGGCAUGCCUUACACAUGCAAGUCGAACGGCAGCACGGGAGCAAUCCUGGUGGCGAGUGGCGAACGGGUGGGUAAUAUAUCGGAACGUGCCCAGCCGUGGGGGAUAACGUAGCGAAAGCUACGCUAAUACCGCAUACGAUCUAUGGAUGAAAGCGGGGGAUCGCAAGACCUCGCGCGAUUGGAGCGGCCGAUAUCAGAUUAGGUAGUUGGUGAGGUAAAGGCUCACCAAGCCGACGAUCUGUAGCUGGCCUGAGAGGACGACCAGCCACACUGGGACUGAGACACGGCCCAGACUCCUACGGGAGGCAGCAGUGGGGAAUUUUGGACAAUGGGCGCAAGCCUGAUCCAGCAAUGCCGCGUGCAGGAUGAAGGCCUUCGGGUUGUAAACUGCUUUUGUACGGAACGAAACGGCGAGCUCUAAUACAGAUUGCUAAUGACGGUACCGUAAGAAUAAGCACCGGCUAACUACGUGCCAGCCGCCGCGGUAA